rnacentral:rRNA from 1 species
UCGAGAAUCUUCGGCAAUGGGCGAAAGCCUGACCGAGCGACGCCGCGUGAGGGAUUGAAGGCCUUCGGGUUGUAAACCUCUUUCGUAGAGGAGGAAGGGGCUGUGAAGAACAGUCCUUGACCUAUUCUAGGAAGAAGCUUGGGCUAAGUUCGUGCCAGCAGCCGCGGUAAGACGAACCAAGCGAACGUUAUUCGGAAUUACUGGGCUUAAAGCGCGUGUAGGCGGACUACCACGUUGGUUGUUGAAAUC